AACCUGGGUUCCGGAAGAAGAAAGCUGGAGCGUGGAAACUACCCGGUCAAAGGAUGCUGAGUCCCGAGCGCCUAGCUCUACCGGACUACGAGUAUCUGGGUAGGGGCUUUUUUCAGCGUCGGGAAAAGAAAGGAGUAAUGUGUUAGGGGAAGGAGUGGGUAGGAGACAGGGGCGGAGCCUGAACGGUAGCGGGUCUGGAUGGGACGGGAGGACAGAAAGAAGGGGUUCUAGGGCCUGAGCCUGAAUGUAGGGCCAAACCUGGAUGAAAAAUAACAUUUAUGGAGUAAAGAAUGGCUGAAUUAUAUGGACUGGCUCUCAGGCAAUGAGGACUGCAUUCUAAGUAACACAAUUAAGAAUCUGAGGCCCCAAACAAGGCUAUUAUUGAUAGGUUUGUAUUGACGCAAACUUGGCAUCUGAAAUGACUUCAGUCAUUUUGUAAAUAAUAAUUUUGCCUUCAUAGUGCACGGUUAUUUCGAGCUUUUCAUUUUCAUUAGGCAUUCUGCACGAGGUAAGCAUUUUGCAUGCAGCAUUAUCAUAGAAGGGAUUGCUGUGUUUGCUACUUUACAGAUGGAGACACUAAGGCUAAAGAGACAAUUGCAUAAGACCUCAUACAGUUAGUAUUAGGAUCAGAUUUUCCCCUUGCAGAACUUGACCUUACCCUUGAGCUAAGGCUGUGUGGUACUAAGUACUGUACUUUGCUAAGCACCCUGCAGUGAGUGUGUAACACAUUUACUGUAUACGUUUGUGUAUACACUUAUUUUUUUAAAACAUUUUUUAUGAUAUUUAUUUUUUAUUUAUAUAAGUACACUGCAGCUGUCUUCAGACACACAUUAGAAGAGUGCAUUGGAUCCCAUUACAGUUGGUUGUGAGCCACCAUGUGGUUGCUAGAAAUUGAACUCAGGACCUGUGGCAGAGCAGUCAGUGCUCUUAACCGCUGAGCCAUCUCUCCAGACCUUGUGUAUACACUUAUAUGCACACAUACACAUUUAAAAGUUCAUAGCUUAAACAUUUAGAGUAGUUUUAAACUUAAAGAGGACUGAGCUGAUAGUAGAGUUUUUUCCCUCUGUAUCUUCUAUUUAGCUUCUAUUAUUAAUUUCUUGUGUUAGUGUGGUACAUUUCUUGCAACUGAAUAUUAGCUCAGUGUGAUUACCAACAGCCUAUAGUUUAUAUUAGGGUCCACUCUUUGUAUUGUACAGUUUUCUGGACUUGGACAAAUUCAUAUUCUCAUAUAUCCACAUUAAGAUGUAAAACAAUCUUUUCAUGGUUAAAACUCCUCUGUGCAUCCCCCAUUCAUUCACCCCUCUCCUUGCUCCUUUCCUUUCCAUGACUGAUCUUAUUGACUUCUAAAGUUUUGCCCCUUUGAGAAUAAUGGGAAUCAUUCAGUGUAUAAGCUCUUCAGAUGGCCUCUUUCGUGUUUCAGUAGGUGUUUAGGUUCCCCCUUGUCGUUUUGUGUCUUGAUACUCAUUUCUUUACAUGGAUGAAUAACAUUUUAUUAUAUGAAUGUACCAUACACAUUUUAAAAUAAAAUACAACUCUGUAUAC
rnacentral:lncRNA from 1 species